AUUGAACGCUGGCGGCAGGCCUAACACAUGCAAGUCGAGCGAGCGGCGGACGGGUGAGUAACGUCUGGAAAACUGCCUGAUGGCGGGGGAUAACUACUGGAAACGGUCACUAAUACCGCAUCACAUCCGAUGUGCCCAGAGGGGAGUAGCUAGUAGGUGGGGUAACGGCUCACCUAGGCGACGAUCCCUAGCUGGUCGGAGAGGAUGACCAGCCACACUGGAACUGAGACCCGGUCCAGACUCCGACGGGAGGCAGCAGUGGGGAAUAUUGCACAAUGGGCGCAAGCCUGAUACAGCAAUGCCGCGUGUGUGAAGAAGGCCUUCGGGUUGUAAAGCACUUUCAGCGGGGAGGCGUUACCCGCAGAAGAAGCACCGGCUAACUCCGUGCCAGCAGCCGCGGUAAUUC
rnacentral:rRNA from 1 species